rnacentral:rRNA from 1 species
GGUUAAGUGACUAAGCGUACACGGUGGAUGCCUAGGCAAUCAGAGGCGAAGAAGGACGUGCUAAUCUGCGAAAAGCUUGGAUGAGUUGAUAAGAAGCGUUUAAUCCAAGAUAUCCGAAUGGGGAAACCCAGUAGAUGAAGAAUCUACUAUCAAUAGAUGAAUACAUAGUCUGUUGAGGCAAACCGGGAGAACUGAAACAUCUAAGUACCCCGAGGAAAAGAAAUCAACCGAGAUUUUGUCAGUAGCGGCGAGCGAAAGCGAAAGAGCCAGCAAGUGAUAGCAGCAAAGACAGAAGAAUUGGCUGGAAAGCCAAGCGACACAGGGUGAUAGCCCCGUAUUUUAAGUUUAUGUUGUGGUACUAAACUUGCAACAAGUAGGGCGGGACACGAGAAAUCCUGUUUGAAGAUGGGGGGACCAUCCUCCAAGGCUAAAUACUCCUGAUUGACCGAUAGUGAACCAGUACUGUGAAGGAAAGGCGAAAAGAACCCCAGUGAGGGGAGUGAAAUAGAACCUGAAACCGUGUACGUACAAGCAGUGGGAGCCCUUUUGGGUGACUGCGUACCUUUUGUAUAAUGGGUCAGCGACUUAUAUUUUGUAGCGAGGUUAACUGAAUAAGGGAGCCGAAGGGAAACCGAGUCUUAACUGGGCGGYKAGUUGCAAGGUAUAGACCCGAAACCCGGUGAUCUAGCCAUGGGCAGGUUGAAGGUUGGGUAACACUAACUGGAGGACCGAACCGACUAAUGUUGAAAAAUUAGCGGAUGACUUGUGGCUGGGGGUGAAAGGCCAAUCAAACCGGGAGAUAGCUGGUUCUCCCCGAAAUCUAUUUAGGUAGAGCCUUAUGUGAAUACCUUCGGGGGUAGAGCACUGUUUCGGCUAGGGGUCCAUCCCGGAUUACCAACCCGAUGCAAACUGCGAAUACCGAAGAGUAAUGCAUAGGAGACACACRGUGGGUGCUAACGUCCAUCGUGGAGAGGGAAACAACCCAGACCGCCAGCUAAGGUCCCAAAGUCUAUAUUAAGUGGGAAACGAAGUGGGAAGGCUUAGACAGCUAGGAUGUUGGCUUAGAAGCAGCCACCAUUUAAAGAAAGCGUAAUAGCUCACUAGUCGAGUCGGCCUGCGCGGAAGAUGUAACGGGGCUAAAAUAUAGCACCGAAGCUGCGGCAUCAGGCGUAUCACAAAUACGCCUUCGAUUAACAACAUCGAAUGAAGUGAAACGGAAUAAGAUGUUGGUCAAGCACCCAACACGUUGAGUUGGCAUAAAGUGCGGAUAGAAAUCAGAGGAAUAUUUGUGAUACGCCUGUUGGGUAGGGGAGCGUUGUGUAAGCGGAUGAAGGUGAAUCGAGAGGUUUGCUGGACGUAUCACAAGUGCGAAUGCUGACAUAAGUAACGAUAAAACGAGUGAAAAACUCGUUCGCCGGAAGACCAAGGGUUCCUGUCCAACGUUAAUCGGGGCAGGGUGAGUCGGCCCCUAAGGCGAGGCUGAAAAGCGUAGUCGAUGGGAAACGGGUUAAUAUUCCCGUACUUGGUAAAGCUGCGAUGUGGGGACGGAGAAGGUUAGGUUAGCAGACUGUUGGAUGUCUGUUUAAGUUGGUAGGUGGGAAGUUUAGGCAAAUCCGGACUUCCAUAACACUGAGAGAUGAUGACGAGUUUCUACGGAAAUGAAGUAACUGAUACCACGCUUCCAGGAAAAGCCACUAAGCGAAAGGCUUUACUAAACCGUACUGAAAACCGACACAGGUGGUCAGGUAGAGAAUACUCAGGCGCUUGAGAGAACUCGGGUGAAGGAACUAGGCAAAAUAGCACCGUAACUUCGGGAGAAGGUGCGCUGGCGUAGGUUGUARGAGUAUACCUCCGAAGGCUGAACCAGUCGAAGAUACCAGCUGGCUGCAACUGUUUAUUAAAAACACAGCACUCUGCAAACACGAAAGUGGACGUAUAGGGUGUGAUGCCUGCCCGGUGCUGGAAGGUUAAUUGAUGGUGUUAUCGAAAGAGAAGCUCCUGAUCGAAGCCCCAGUAAACGGCGGCCGUAACUAUAACGGUCCUAAGGUAGCGAAAUUCCUUGUCGGGUAAGUUCCGACCUGCACGAAUGGCAUAAUGAUGGCCAGGCUGUCUCCACCCGAGACUCAGUGAAAUUGAAAUCGCCGUGAAGAUGCGGUGUACCCGCGGCUAGACGGAAAGACCCCGUGAACCUUUACUAUAGCUUGACACUGAACAUUGAAUUUUGAUGUGUAGGAUAGGUGGGAGACUAAGAAGCAGGCACGCCAGUGCUUGUGGAGUCGUCCUUGAAAUACCACCCUUUAACGUUUGAUGUUCUAACGAAGAUUACGAAACGUGGUCUCGGACAGUGUCUGGUGGGUAGUUUGACUGGGGCGGUCUCCUCCCAAAGCGUAACGGAGGAGCACGAAGGUUUGCUAAUCACGGUCGGACAUCGUGAGGUUAGUGCAAUGGUAUAAGCAAGCUUAACUGCGAGACAGACAAGUCGAGCAGGUGCGAAAGCAGGUCAUAGUGAUCCGGUGGUUCUGAAUGGAAGGGCCAUCGCUCAACGGAUAAAAGGUACUCCGGGGAUAACAGGCUGAUACCGCCCAAGAGUUCAUAUCGACGGCGGUGUUUGGCACCUCGAUGUCGGCUCAUCACAUCCUGGGGCUGAAGUAGGUCCCAAGGGUAUGGCUGUUCGCCAUUUAAAGUGGUACGCGAGCUGGGUUUAGAACGUCGUGAGACAGUUCGGUCCCUAUCUGCCGUGGGCGUUGGAGAAUUGAGAGGGGCUGCUCCUAGUACGAGAGGACCGGAGUGGACGCAUCACUGGUGUACCAGUUGUCUCGCCAGAGGCACUGCUGGGUAGCUAAAUGCGGAAGAGAUAAGUGCUGAAAGCAUCUAAGCACGAAACUCGCCUUAAGAUGAGUUCUCCCUAGCUAUAAGCUAGUAAGGGUUGUUGAAGACUACGACGUAGAUAGGUCUGGUGUGUAAGCGGUGUGAGCCGUUGAGCUAACAGAUACUAAUUGCCCGAGAGGCUUAACUAU